AUUGAACGCUGGCGGCGUGGCUAAAGCAUGCAAGUCGCACGGAGCCGCAAGGCUCAGUGGCGGACGGGUUAGUAAUACGAUCGAACGUACCCUGAGGUGGAGGAUAGCGGCGGGAAACCGCCGGUAAUACUUCAUGAUCUCCCCGGAGCAAAGUCGCAAGGCGCCUUUGGAUCGGCGAUCGUCCUAUCAGCUAGUUGGCGGGGUAACGGCCCACCAAGGCGAUGACGGGUAGCAGGUGUGAGAGCACGACCUGCAACAUCGGGACUGAGACACUGCCCGGACUCCUACGGGAGGCUGCAGCGACGAAUCUUCCGCAAUGGGCGCAAGCCUGACGGAGCGACGCCGCGUGUGGGAUGACGGCCUUCGGUUGUAA
rnacentral:rRNA from 1 species